GCUGCGAUAGCCUCUGAUGAUGCUGCCGGCACAAAUGAAGGUCCAAAUUGCAAGUAUGAGUUUACCUUCACCAGAAGUUGAUGAAUCAUACCAUUGGGAAUAAAAUUGUGGCUGGAGAUUAAGGAGACGCUUGGCACUGCCUCUAAUUUUCGGUGGGUGCAUCCUAUUUUUACUAGUGUGGCACCUCUCUUCCACUAUAAAGUGCUGCCUCUCUCUCUCUCUCUCUCU
rnacentral:misc_RNA from 1 species